rnacentral:rRNA from 1 species
AUUGAACGCUAGCGGUAGGCUUUACACAUGCAAGUCGAACGAGUGGCGGUCGGGUGAGUAAUAUAUCGGAACCUGCCCAGUAGCGGGGGAUAACUACUCGAAAGGGUGGCUAAUACCGCAUACCAUCUGAGCUGCCCAUAUGGGGUUAGCUGGUUGGUGGGGUAACGGCUCACCAAGGCAACGAUCCCUAGCUGGUUUGAGGGGACGACCAGCCACACUGGAACAGAGACACGGUCCAGAAUCCUACGGGAGGCAGCAGUGGGGAAUUUUGGACAAUGGGAGCAAGCCUGAUGCAGCCAUACCGCGUGUAUGAGAAGGCCUUCGGGUUGUAAAGUACUUUCGGCGGAGAAGCGGUAGCUGCAGAAGAAGCACCGGCUAACUACGUGCCAGCAGCCGCGGUAAUUC